GAUGAACGCUGGCGGCGUGCCUAAUACAUGCAAGUCGAGCGAACAGAUAAGGAGCUUGCUCCUUUGACGUUAGCGGCGGACGGGUGAGUAACACGUGGGUAACCUACCUAUAAGACUGGAAUAACUCCGGGAAACCGGGGCUAAUGCCGGAUAACAUUUAGAACCGCAUGGUUCUAAAGUGAAAGAUGGUUUUGCUAUCACUUAUAGAUGGACCCGCGCCGUAUUAGCUAGUUGGUAAGGUAACGGCUUACCAAGGCAACGAUACGUAGCCGACCUGAGAGGGUGAUCGGCCACACUGGAACUGAGACACGGUCCAGACUCCUACGGGAGGCAGCAGUAGGGAAUCUUCCGAAAUGGGCGAAAGCCUGACGGAGCAACGCCGCGUGAGUGAUGAAGGUCUUCGGAUCGUAAAACUCUGUUAUUAGGGAAGAACAAAUGUGUAAGUAACUGUGCACGUCUUGACGGUACCUAAUCAGAAAGCCACGGCUAACUACGUG
rnacentral:rRNA from 1 species